GCAGUGGCAUAAAUAUGCCAGCAGAGGUCGCCAUGUCGUUAUAUUGUCCUUUGGGUUCUGGCAGUUGGUGUAGUUUGUCCUUUAAUGGACGCCGUACUUUGGCUUCUGUUAAGGUUUGGAUCCUCGCCUCCAUCCAGACUCCGACAGCAACCCUUAGAAAACAACAGUCUUCGGAAGUAGCGAGGUGCCAUCUGACACGGACAGGGUUACAUAUGUUUUAAAAUGUGAAAACUAUCUGAAAACAUCAUUAUCUCUGGACAAAAUGGGAAAACUUUGCACAUUUUCUUCCUGUUUGUACAUGUUGGUACUUCCAAGUCUUGCCUACAUUUCCCAAAAACCUUCUCGUUUGUGAACUCUGUCUGCCUGAAGAUUGGUCCCAGGUUCAAGGUACUUGGAGAUAGUGGCUCUGAAGACUCCUGCACUUAUUUAAUUCUCCUUGCCUUAAAAAAUGGAAAGAAUGACAAGAGGUUAUAUGAAAAAUAUGGAUCAAAAAUGCCCCAUAGUUAUUUCGUUAUAUAGAAAUAAUUUUAUGUUAAUAUUUUUCCAUAUUGUUAAUAUAUUGGUUUGGUGCAUAUAGACAGUAAAUAAAUUCUGUAUGUUUUCAUCUUAUUAUUUCAGUAAUCCUAUAUAAAGAAAAAUAAAUGUAAUAUAAAUUAACUGUUGUUGCUAAUGAUAAAUACUGCAGGUAAAUUUUGCAAACCUGAUGAAUGAUUAUAGACAAAACUAAAUUAGACAUUUUUUGAUUCACCAGUCUAGACUUACAGCAUCUUGGCAGCUUAAUAAUCAUGUAUCUGAUUGGCCUUUUAUAGGUGAACAUUUUCUAAAUCAGUCAUCAGUUAAAUUUAUUUAAAUAAAAUAUUGAUUUCUUCUUGAACCAAACACACAAUGAAUAAUAAGUUGUUGUACAUCUCUGACUCACCUUUCAAAAAGUGCUGAAAGUGCAGAAUCUGAAACCAAGAACAUCCAUGGAAAGAAAAAUAAUAAAUUACUAGAAUUUGUAAGCUAACCAAGUCGUCCAUUAUGAGCAACAUACUGUAUUGUUCACUGAAGUGUUAAUACAAAAAUAUUCUCUUAUGUGUUUGUUAAAAGAUCUGACUCCACUUUAUUGAUGAUGGCAAACCUCUAUUCUUUCUGAAGCAGCUAUUAUUUGAAGUAUUGCAUUAAAGUGUAUGAUAACUUUAAGACUAAUCUUUUCAUUUUUUUAAAUAGAAAUAAAUUCCUGAAAGUGGGAGAGAAGCAUAUUAUUGUUGAGCAUUUUGAGGUACUUUAAGUUUUGUAUUUCUCUAAAACUGUUCAGUAAAAUGAUGAAAUAUUUAUUUUUUUACAUAAAACAUAUUUACAUUU